AGCCGCGGUAAUUCCAGCUCCAAUAGCGUAUAUUAAAGUUGUUGCAGUUAAAAAGCUCGUAGUUGAAUUUCGGGAUCAAUUUGCUGGUCGUGCCUUCGGUACGCACUGGUAUUAUUGGUUUCUCCUUUCUGAUGAAUCGCGAUGUCAUUAAUUUGGUGUCGUGGGGAAUCAGGACCGUUACUUUGAAAUAAUUAGAGUGUUUAAAGCAGGCUCACGCUUGAAUACAUUAGCAUGGAAUAAUGAAAUAGGACGUUUGAUUCUAUUUUGUUGGUUUCUAGGAUCGACGUAAUGAUUAAUAGGGAUAGUUGGGGGCAUUAGUAUUCAAUUGUCAGAGGUGAAAUUCUUGGAUUUAUUGAAGACUAACUACUGCGAAAGCAUUUGCCAAGGAUGUUUUCAUUAAUCAAGAACGAAAGUUAGGGGAUCGAAGACGAUCAGAUACCGUCGUAGUCUUAACCAUAAACUAUGCCGACUAGGGAUCGGAUGAUGUUAAUUUUUUAAUGACUCAUUCGGCGCCUUACG
rnacentral:rRNA from 1 species